AUAGUUUGAUCCUGGCUCAGGAUGAACGCUAGCGGCAGGCCUAACACAUGCAAGCCGAGGGGUUUUGUAGCAAUGCAAGACGACCGGCGCACGGGUGCGUAACGCGUAUGCAAUCUACCUAUCACACGGGGACAGGUCCCGGAAACGGGAAUUAAUAUCCGAUGGCGCAUUGAUACCGCAUGGUAUUGGAAGCUAAAGAUUUAUCGGUGAUAGAUGAGCAUGCGUGACAUUAGCUAGUUGGUGAGGUAACGGCUCACCAAGGCAACGAUGUCUAGGGGUUCUGCAAGGAAGAUCCCCCACACUGGUACUGAGACACGGACCAGACUCCUACGGGAGGCAGCAGUGAGGAAUAUUGGUCAAUGGGUGCAAGCCUGAACCAGCCAUGCCGCGUGCAGGACUAAGGCCCUCUGGGUCGUAAACUGCUUUUGUACGAGAAUAAAUGUUGGUACGUGUACCAAUUUGCAGGUAUUGUACGAAUAAGCAUCGGCUAACUCCGUGCCAGCAGCCGCGGUAAUACGGAGGAUGCGAGCGUUAUCCGGAUUUAUUAGGUUUAAAGGGUACGUAGGCUGCCCGUUAAGUCAGGGGUGAAAUGCGCGGGCUCAACCUGCGCGCUGCCCUUGAAACUGAUGGGCUAGAGUUGUGACGGGGCAAGCGGAAUGUGCGGAGUAGCGGUGAAAUGCAUAGAUACCGCACAGAACACCGAUAGCGAAGGCAGCUUGCCAGGGACAUACUGACGCUAAUGUACGAAAGCGUGGGUAGCGAACAGGAUUAGAUACCCUGGUAUCC
rnacentral:rRNA from 1 species